GACGAACGCUGGCGGCGUGCUUAACACAUGCAAGUCGAACGGAAAGGCCCUGCUUUUGUGGGGUGCUCGAGUGGCGAACGGGUGAGUAACACGUGAGUAACCUGCCCUUGACUUUGGGAUAACUUCAGGAAACUGGGGCUAAUACCGGAUAGGAGCUCCUGCUGCAUGGUGGGGGUUGGAAAGUUUCGGCGGUUGGGGAUGGACUCGCGGCUUAUCAGCUUGUUGGUGGGGUAGUGGCUUACCAAGGCUUUGACGGGUAGCCGGCCUGAGAGGGUGACCGGCCACAUUGGGACUGAGAUACGGCCCAGACUCCUACGUGAGGCAGCAGUGGGGAAUAUUGCACAAGGGGCGGAAGCCUGAUGCAGCAACGCCGCGUGCGGGAUGACGGCCUUCGGGUUGUAAACCGCUUUCGCAUGUGACGAAGCGUGAGUGACGGUAAUGGGUAAAGAAGCACCGGCUAACUACGUG
rnacentral:rRNA from 1 species